rnacentral:lncRNA from 1 species
CUGCUGCAUGCCUAGAUUGCCACAGGAAUAAAACCACGGAGGUAGUUUUUUCUAUUUCUAUCUUCUACAGUGUAGCUUUUUCUGAGAUUCAGCCCUGAGCAGAGUUAAGGAUCAGAACAUUCUGAAUUCAGAAAGAAAUGAAACAAAUGCAGUCAACAAGGAUUUCCCCUGCUCCCACCAGUCCUGAGAGCUGGGCCGGGCCUGGUGUCGGCUGCUGUUGUCUGAAGCAGCAUUUUCCAAACACCCUCACCUCAGAAGAUGCUCCAAGACACCAAAGCUCUGGGCUCUGCCUGGGCUCACUUCUCUGACAGUUGCUGUGCCCCUGGUAGGCUGAAGAGUGGGGAGUCCCGCAGCAAAGAGAAUGAUUUAACUGUGCACGUGGUCUGCUGGCCUCCCACUUCCCAUCAAGUGGGCUUCCUGGAGCAACACUUUCACUGUGUGUCAAAGGCAGCUUCCACACCGAGUCCCUGAGGAGGGGCUCAGCAGGCUGCUGAGGAGGGAUGUAGGACACUUAUGGCCCUGGACCAUCAGUCUCCAACCUGGUUGACAGCCAAUUCCACUCCACUCCCAUCCUCUGCUCCACGCCUGGCCAGCCAAAGAUCCAAAACAAGGUCACAGCACAGUUCACACCUCAGUGAAUUGAGGUCAUCAGCUCUGUCGUCCAUUUAGGAAAGAAAUGCCAGGAAGUGAUGUAAGGAGACCAAUGCCAACGUUUGCCAUGCCAGCAAGUACAAUUAUUAUUAUUUUUUUCUAACCCACGCUUGUUGCAAUUCAAUCAAAUUAAUGCUUCAUUUACUAGGGAAUGUGAUUUUGCAACACAAACAGGGUAGGGCUACCCCAAAAAGUCCCAGGCCUUUGGCCACUGCCUGUUGGUUUACCCACACUCUUUUCAGCCCGGCUCUGACUGGCUGCCCCAGGACCCUGCCCUGGCCUGGGUGUUAGCGACAGGGAAACUGGCUCGUCUCGAACCCAAACUGACAAUGUGGGUCUGGGAGGUGCCUGAAGGUGUGGGAUUUCUGACGUCCGUGACCCUGGGAUGAAAAGCCCAUCCCAGCCGUCCUGUUGCUCACAGAGUCUGAGAAAGAUGCAAACUUUCAGAGAGUCUUCCUCUUGCAGGAUAUAUUAGACUUAUCGAAAUAAGCUUUCUGUUUAAAUUGAAGAAUGAUGUCUGUACAGAAAAGUGCACAGCUGUUAUGUGUACAGUGCAAUGACGUUUACAAACUGAACUCAGCUGUGUAAGCUGCACCCAGGUAAGAGGCAGAACAUUCCAGAAACCUCCUAGUGACGCCUUUCAGUCGCAACCACCUUCCCCCAAGGUGACAGCCAUCCUGGCUGCUGCCACUAUAGAUCCUUUUCUCUGGUUUUAAACUGUAUGUAAAUGGAACCACACAGUGUGUGUUCUUUUGUGUCCAGCUUCCUCCUCUCACCACCACACUUCUGUGAUUCCUCCACACUGCUGAGGGUCAUCCAG